AUCCAACUGAAAAGACCUAAACAGGGCGAAAUGUGCGUCUUGGAU
rnacentral:hammerhead_ribozyme from 1 species